rnacentral:snRNA from 1 species
AUUACUUCUGGGCCUUUUGGCUAAGAUCAAGUGUAAUAGUAUCUGUUCUUAUCUGAUACGUCCUCUAUCUGAGGACAAUAUAGUAAAUGGAUUUUUAGAGGAGGGAGUUGGAAGAGGAGGUUGCUCCGUUCACUCCACCAAUUGACCUGGUAUUGCAGUUCCUCCAGGAAUUGCGCACCCCCU